rnacentral:rRNA from 1 species
CCGAAAUCCUAAUUGGUGCCCAUCCUGUGAUGAUUUUGCAGGCCGAGGUCCGUUGGGUCGGUGCUGAUAGUUGCCCUCGUUGGCAAAACCGGCGCUUGCGCCCUCAUUCUGUACAUAACCUCAGUGGGGUAGGAUUACCCGCUAGAC